rnacentral:hammerhead_ribozyme from 1 species
CACUGCUGAGGAGUCCCAUAAUAGGACUAAACCACCGUCCAGGGC